GGAGGGGCUUGCGGCCUAUCAGCUAGAUGGCGAGGUAACGGCUCACCAUGGCGACGACGGGUAGCUGGUCUGAGAGGAUGGUCAGCCGGACUGGGACUGAGAUACGGCCCAGACUCCUACGGGGGGCAGCAAUUAGGAAUCUUGCGCAAUGGGGGCAACCCUGACGCAGCGACGCCGCGUGGAGGAGGAAGUCUUUCGGGAUGUAAACUCCUUUUAGGUAGGAAGAAGGAUGUGACGGUACUACCUGAAUAAGCCCCGGCUAACUACGUGCCAGCAGCCGCGGUAAUACGUAGGGGGCGAGCGUUGUCCGAAGUUACUGGGCGUAAAGCGCGCGUAGGCGGGGGAGCAAGUCCGCUGUGAAAGCCCGAGGCUUAACCUCGGAGGGUCGGUGGAUACUGCUUCUCUUGAAGAGGCUAGGGGGAGAUGGAAUUACCGGUGUAGCGGUGAAAUGCGUAGAGAUCGGUAGGAACACCAGUGGCGAAGGCGGUCUCCUGGAGCCCUCUUGACGCUGAGGCGCGAAAGCUGGGGGAGCGAACGGGAUUAGAUACCCCGGUAGUCCCAGCCCUAAACGAUGGAUACUAGGUGUCGGGGGUAUCGACCCCUCCGGUGCCGCAGCUAACGCAGUAAGUAUCCCGCCUGGGGAGUACGGCCGCAAGGUUGAAACUCAGAGGAAUUGACGGGGGGCC
rnacentral:rRNA from 1 species